rnacentral:lncRNA from 1 species
CCUUGUGUCAAGUCUAAGAAGGAAUUUGAAGAAGCUGAGCAGGAUCCGGAGCUUGACCGGCUUGAGAUCUAUGCCCUCUAAGCCAAAUUGAGGUUAGAUAAUCAUAACAUGGUACUAGAGAGGUGUUUUGUUGACUGUUGUGAUAGCUCUUGAUGGUCUGGUUAGGGUGAUUUGUGAAGAGGCAGCAUGCACAAGUCUGAAUAAUAUCUGCUUGUGUUAUGUUUGCAGCUUCCAGUCUUCUUUCCACGUACAAGUUCUAUGGAUCCAGUUGUAGUAGCAGCCUGUACGUUAUGUUUUUGUAUGUGCUGGCAUUGAUUAUGAGGUGUACAGGUUUAGUUUAGUGUUGGGCUCCAAUUUUCUUUGGUUUUGAUCGAUGCAGCACCAUGUUGAGUUUAACCCUGCAACUUUUCUUAACUAGAUCAUGCUGGUGUUAAGGCUGGGAAUCACAAUAUCGAUGGCCUCAGCAUGUUUUUAGCAGUUGAAUUAAAGAUACUCUGUCUUGUUGCACAAACUGACGCAGAUCAAUGUUCAGAGGUAAUAUGGUUCUGCCCGUAAUUUUCAUUGACUGUCGGCAUGUUCCGUUUUUAUUCAUUACUCUGUAUAUCACGGCGGUAUGACUAUAGUAAGGAUAUAUGGCUGAUGCAUUUUGAACUUCUCUGUUCCUUUGGACAGAACAGAGCUGAUAAAUUAUCUAUUCUUUUUGGCUUUGGUAGUAUGAACAGAAAGCAGGCAGUAAUAAACCGAUAUGUUGUAGGAGUACUAUUUUGUUAAUGAAACGGGGUCAUUAUUAU